UACGAGGGGUGCAAGCGUUAUUCGGAAUAAUUGGGCGUAAAGGGUGCGUAGACGGCAUAUUAAGUCAACUGUUACAUUCUCCAGCCUAACUGGAGGCCUGCAGUAGAUACUGAUUUGCUAGAGGUUGGAAGAGAGAAGUGGAAUUCUCGGAGUAGCGGUAAAAUGCGUAGAUCUCGAGAGGAACACCGAUGGCGAAGGCAGCUUCUUGGUCCACACCUGACGUUGAGGCACGAAAGCGUGGGGAGCAAACAGG
rnacentral:rRNA from 1 species